UACGAAGGGGGCAAGCGUUGUUCGGAAUUACUGGGCGUAAAGGGCGCGUAGGCGGUGCACUAAGUCAGGCGUGAAAGCCCUGGGCUCAACCCGGGAAUUGCGCUUGAUACUGGUGCGCUUGAAUCCAGGAGAGGUUGGUGGAAUUCCCAGUGUAGAGGUGAAAUUCGUAGAGAUUGGGAAGAACACCGGUGGCGAAGGCGGCCAACUGGAGUGGUAUUGACGCUGAGGCGCGAAAGCGUGGGGAGCAAACAGG
rnacentral:rRNA from 1 species